rnacentral:lncRNA from 1 species
CUCCCUGAAGACGAGCGAAAGACGUAGGAUUAGGAAGAUAAGUGUUUCAUGGCCUCAGUUGCAUCCUUCUUAAAAGCCCCAUGGUAGAAUGAGAUGACCUGACUCGUGCCUGAACUCUCCAACUACAGUAACCCGUUGUUUCAUCUUUUAAGGAGAGUAGAGUGGCCAGAUUCCUUGAUAAUGAUCCAAACUGACCACGUCUAUUGGACUUACAUUCCUUUCAAGCAAAGUAAGAAGAAAAUUUUGAGGCUCAAAAGAAUAGACAGUAUUGUUAGAAAAGUGCCACUAAGAGACAUCAGUCUAGCCCAAGGCAUUGGAGCACAUCUGGAAUCCCAGGUACUCUGGAGCUGAAGCAG